CCUACGGGAGGCAGCAGUAGGGAAUAUUGCUCAAUGGGGGAAACCCUGAAGCAGCAACGCCGCGUGGAGGAUGAAGGUUUUCGGAUUGUAAACUCCUUUUGUUAGAGAAGAUAAUGACGGUAUCUAACGAAUAAGCACCGGCUAACUCCGUGCCAGCAGCCGCGGUAAUACGGAGGGUGCAAGCGUUACUCGGAAUCACUGGGCGUAAAGAGCGCGUAGGCGGGAUAGCAAGUCAGAGGUGAAAUCCUAUGGCUUAACCAUAGAACUGCAUUUGAAACUGUUAUUCUAGAGUAUGGGAGAGGUAGGUGGAAUUCUUGGUGUAGGGGUAAAAUGCGUAGAGAUCAAAAGGAAUACUGAUUGCGAAGGCGACCUGCUAGGACAUAUCUGACGCUGAUGCGCGAAAGCGUGGGGAGCAAACAGGAUUAGAUACCCUAGUAGUC
rnacentral:rRNA from 1 species